GCUGUCCUCAAUCUCACUACACUACUGCCUAAGACUUCAUCUACUCAUCACUGCGUUGACAUUCUGGCAGAAGAAACUGGUACUCAAAAUGAUCUAAAGGAUCAGAUCAGCCUUGGCCAGAGAGUUCGAGCUGGUACACUGAUGGCAGUAGCCUCGAGGUUGAAGGGCGGCCCCACCCUAAGCUGCUAACCAUCGAGGGAGACAUCUGCCCACUUAAAACUACUUUCCCAGCAAAUAACUGUAGUGGCAUCCCACACUCUUAAAAGCAUUAUCUGAAAGCCCCCUGACUGAUGGAUGACAACCAACGCUCCUGUGACACAUCAGAGCUUUUUGUUGACUGAACGAGUGACCUUCGCCCCACCUGCUGUCCUCAAUCUCACUACACUACUGCCUAAGACUUCAUCUACUCAUCACUGCGUUGACAUUCUGGCAGAAGAAACUGGUACUCAAAAUGAUCUAAAGGAUCAGAUCAGCCUUGGCCAGAGAGUUCGAGCUGGUACACUGAUGGCAGUAGCCUCGAGGUUGAAGGUAAGCAGAAGGUGGGGACAGCAGUACGGUGGUGAACAGAAAGCAAGUGAUCUAGGCCAGCAGUCUCCCUAAAGGGACGUCGGCCCAAAAAGCUGAACUUGUGACUUUGAUACAAAGAGGGCUGUUGACAUCUGCAGAGAAGGACCUAAGAUGCUGUGGCUAAAGGAAACCAGAUGGCAAAUCUAACCGCCAAACAUGUGGCCCAAAGAACAAUGAUCCUGGCAGUCAAGGAGCCUAAAGAUUAUUAUGAUGUCAGAGAGACCAGCUUUAGAUACACCCCUGAACACUAUCAAGUUAUGGACAUUGCUUGACCCACCUGGGGACCAAGAAAUUAAAAGGUGUGGUUAGGUCCUUUGACUACUAUGUUACAGGAUGCUCUGACUUGACAGAAAAAAUAGUCAAAAGCUACAAGGCCUGUGCUAUAAUGAGGUAAAAUUUACAAAAAUUAAGCCAGCUAGAUAUGGCAACAAGUACUUAGUGUUUAUAGACACCGUUUCAAGAUGGAUAAAAGCUUUUCCUACCAGAACUGAGACGAUCAAUGUGAUAGCCAAGAAGAUCCUAAAAGAAAACUUCCCGAGGUAAUGGACCUGCCUUUGUUGCCCAGGUAAAUCAGGAAAUGGCCAAGAUAUUCGAGAAUGGUUAGAAGUUACAUUGUGCAUACAGGCUCCAAAGCUCAGGACAGGUAAAAAAGAUAAAUAAAAUUCUAAAAGAGACUGGUGCAGACUUAGUGCUCCUUCCCCAUGCCCAAUUUAAAACUAGAAAUACUCCCCUUUUGAUUCAGCCUUACUCUUUUUAAGAUCCUUUAUGGGGCUCCCNUGUUCAUCACUGUCUUAAAUGAUGUGUUUAAACCUACAUGUUGUUGUAAUAAUAAUCUGUGUGCUAAGUUAAAAGGCUUGCAGGUGGUACAGAAAAAAGGCUGGUCACAAUUGGCUACAGCAAACGAGCCGGGUACCACAAAAGACAUCUCACCAGUUACAGCCAGAGAUCUGACCCAUGUACACCUAGAUCAUGCCCAGACCCUCAAGCCUUACUAGAAGGGUCCCUGCCUAGUUCUGCUUACUAUCCCUUCUUAAUUCUGUUAAUUUCUAUUCUCCACAUAGAAAUAUAGACUUCUAAAAUUCUAAGAUUAGAAUUACUUAGUAGAAGAA